UACGAAGGGGGCUAGCGUUGCUCGGAAUGACUGGGCGUAAAGGGCGCGUAGGCGGCGAUCACAGUCAGAUGUGAAAUUCCUGGGCUUAACCUGGGGGCUGCAUUUGAUACGUGGUUGCUUGAGUGGGGAAGAGGGUCGUGGAAUUCCCAGUGUAGAGGUGAAAUUCGUAGAUAUUGGGAGAACACCGGUGGCGAAGGCGGCGACCUGGUCCUUGACUGACGCUGAGGCGCGAAAGCGUGGGGAGCAAACAGG
rnacentral:rRNA from 1 species